rnacentral:rRNA from 1 species
UGAACGCUGGCGGCAGGCCUAACACAUGCAAGUCGAGCGGAUGACAGGAGCUUGCUCCUGAAUUCAGCGGCGGACGGGUGAGUAAUGCCUAGGAAUCUGCCUGGUAGUGGGGGACAACGUUUCGAAAGGAACGCUAAUACCGCAUACGUCCUACGGGAGAAAGCAGGGGACCUUCGGGCCUUGCGCUAUCAGAUGAGCCUAGGUCGGAUUAGCUAGUUGGUGAGGUAAUGGCUCACCAAGGCGACGAUCCGUAACUGGUCUGAGAGGAUGAUCAGUCACACUGGAACUGAGACACGGUCCAGACUCCUACGGGAGGCAGCAGUGGGGAAUAUUGGACAAUGGGCGAAAGCCUGAUCCAGCCAUGCCGCGUGUGUGAAGAAGGUCUUCGGAUUGUAAAGCACUUUAAGUUGGGAGGAAGGGCAUUAAUCUAAUACGUUAGUGUUUUGACGUUACCGACAGAAUAAGCACCGGCUAACUCUGUG